rnacentral:lncRNA from 1 species
GUUGCAUGUGGUUGAGUAUUUCGAUCAUCUCUAGCUAAGUGGAGAAGAUAUAGGUUGAUCGUCACGGACCGUACGUAACAUCAACCCUUUGUCAUCACCACCUGAGAUACCGUUGUUCACUUCAUACGCUCGCGUCGAGAUCCAUUACUGUUGGAUUUGUUCGGUAAGGAACCCUAACUUGUGCAUGUCUUUGGUUUUUAGGUUGUUUUAAUAUGUUGCUUAUGCAGGACGUUAUCUGAAAGCUUAAGUUGAGUCUCGUUGUUGCAGGUGCAAGUUAGGUCGUCGCUGGUUUCUUCAUCUGCGAGGCCCUGUUUCUGUUGAGCUUGUUGCUUCGUAUACAAGCCAGGUCGUGUCUGUUGUGCUGUUUCUGGUUGCUUCGUCUAGAAGCCACGUCGUAUCUGUUGUGUCGUAUCUGUUGUUAAGAAGAUGUUGGAAAGUUUAGCGGAGUAUCAUCAACAAGUAAAGACCACGGAAGAAACUGCGUUAGAAACAGAGGAAUAUAAGCUUCAUCAGCUUCUUGUGUGUUUCGAAGAAUCAUUCUA